GGGUCUGUAGCUCAGUGGUAGAGCCUCCGGCUCAUAACCGGAUGGUCGCAGGUUCGAUCCCUGCUGGACCCACCA
rnacentral:tRNA from 1 species